rnacentral:rRNA from 1 species
UACGGAGGGGGCUAGCGUUGUUCGGAAUUACUGGGCGUAAAGCGCACGUAGGCGGCUAUGUAAGUUAGAGGUGAAAGCCUGGGGCUCAACUCCAGAACUGCCUUUAAGACUGCAUCGCUUGAACACGGGAGAGGUGAGUGGAAUUCCCGGUGUAGCGGUGAAAUGCGCAGAUAUCGGGAAGAACACCCGUGGCGAAGGCGGCUCUCUGGGACGGUACUGACGCUGAGACGCGAAAGCGUGGGGAGCGAACAGG